UUCGCCCUUAGAGUUUGAUCCUGGCUCAGGAUGAACGCUGGCGGCGUGCCUAACACAUGCAAGUCGAACGGAACUAUUUUGGAAACUCCUUCGGGAGCGGAAUUUUUAGUUUAGUGGCGGACGGGUGAGUAACGCGUGAGCAAUCUGCCUUUAAGAGGGGGAUAACAGUCGGAAACGGCUGCUAAUACCGCAUAAAGCAUCAAAUUCGCAUGUUUUUGAUGCCAAAGGAGCAAUCCGCUUCUAGAUGAGCUCGCGUCUGAUUAGCUGGUUGGCGGGGUAACGGCCCGCCAAGGCGACGAUCAGUAGCCGGACUGAGAGGUUGAACGGCCACAUUGGGACUGAGACACGGCCCAGACUCCUACGGGAGGCAGCAGUGGGGAAUAUUGCGCAAUGGGGGAAACCCUGACGCAGCAACGCCGCGUGAUUGAAGAAGGCCUUCGGGUUGUAAAGAUCUUUAAUCAGGGACGAAACAAAUGACGGUACCUGAAGAAUAAGCUCCGGCUAACUACGUGCCAGCAGCCGCGGUAAUACGUAGGGAGCAAGCGUUAUCCGGAUUUACUGGGUGUAAAGGGCGCGCAGGCGGGCCGGUAAGUUGGAAGUGAAAUCUAUGGGCUUAACCCAUAAACUGCUUUCAAAACUGCUGGUCUUGAGUGAUGGAGAGGCAGGCGGAAUUCCGUGUGUAGCGGUGAAAUGCGUAGAUAUACGGAGGAACACCAGUGGCGAAAGGCGGCCUGCUGGACAUUAACUGACGCUGAGGCGCGAAAGCGUGGGGAGCAAACAGGAUUAGAUACCCCGGUAGUUCACGCCGUAAACGAUGGAUACUAAGUGUUGUAGGUAUUGAACCUUCCUGUGANGNAAUCCCCCCCCCCCCGCCCCCCGCCGCCCCCCCCCGCCGGAAGGUUGAAACUCAAAGGAAUUGACGGGGGCCCGCACAAGCAGUGGAGUAUGUGGUUUAAUUCGAAGCAACGCGAAGAACCUUACCAGGUCUUGACAUCCCGAUGACCGGUUCAGAGAUGAGCCUUCUCUUCGGAGCAUCGGUGACAGGUGGUGCAUGGUUGUCGUCAGCUCGUGUCGUGAGAUGUUGGGUUAAGUCCCGCAACGAGCGCAACCCUUACGGUUAGUUGAUACGCAAGAUCACUCUAGCCGGACUGCCGUUGACAAAACGGAGGAAGGUGGGGACGACGUCAAAUCAUCGUGCCCCUUAUGCCCGGCGCUGAACACGUACUACAAUGGCAGUCAUACAGAGGGAAGCAAAACCGCGAGGUGGAGCAAAUCCCUAAAAGCUGUCCCAGUUCAGAUUGCAGGCUGCAACCCGCCUGCAUGAAGUCGGAAUUGCUAGUAAUCGCGGAUCAGCAUGUCGCGGUGAAUACGUUCUCGGGCCUUGUACUCACCGCCCGUCA
rnacentral:rRNA from 1 species